rnacentral:lncRNA from 1 species
CCUUGGUGCCCGUCUUCGCCCAUUUGCGCAUUUUCCUUUAAACUAUCGUGCCCAGCGCCUGCGUGGCAGCCCUGUCUCUUCUGGGGACCCCUGGGCUGGAGUGGAUAGGGCUGCGCCCACUGGGCAAACUCCGCAGUCUCCGGGCCAUUGAGAGACAGACUCCCGAGCAGGCGCCCUGCGGGGUCUCCACGAGGUCCUGGGGGAGCCCUGGAAGCGGGUCCCUGGGCAGGGGACCCAAGACCCCAUCUCUAACUGGAGGACUGAGCCGCCUCCUCCCUCUGGAGACCUGCCCCCGGAUGCCCCGCCCCUUUUUCGUGACCCCCACCUGACCCGGAAGCCAGGCCCGACUGUCUCCAGAAGGACUUGGAGCAGAGGGAAGAGUUCCUCUUGUGUGCUUCUCUUCCCGCUGCGUCCCGCGACUCUGCCUACACGCCUCUGGCCGACCACCCCGUGCCGUGGAGACCCUCGACUUGCUGGCCUUGUGGUGAAGCAACAGGAGCAGAUCCUAUUUUUUCAGAUGGAUGCACCCAUCCAUCUCAAGCUUCUGUGAAUGUCGGUUGGUAAAGACUCAUAGACUGAGUUGGGAAGUUGGACCUUACCCCCAAACUGUGGCAAUGGCCAACAAGCGGCUAAUACAGGUGCUCAUAAGACACAUUGUGCACCCCAAACUCAGCAUCUGCUUCCAGAGAACGCAACCUGUGACAGCUGUGCCACAGUAAGAACUGGUAGUGCAGGAGUAAUAAACAUUUGGCUCUCCUCCCAUCCGUCCUUCUUCUGGCACAUUUUCAAUCCAAAAUUUAGGAACUUCCGUCACAGCUGCUUCUGUUUACUAAAGAGAUAGGCCUUAGAAAACGUGCAGCCUGCAGUGUGGUCAGUAGAGAGUUGAUCUUGUUCAAAGCCUACAGAAAAUUGAAGAACAUCACAGGGAAAAAGUAACUGAAGAGUUGGAAAGGGAUACUUAGUUCUGGAGGAGGAAGAGAAGAAAAAGCAUAUUUUGCUGAGCUAAAGGAGUAGGAUAUAGGUUUCAUCAGGGAAGAGAUUAUGUCGGUUUGGCUCAUUGCUGUACCUCUAGUGCCUAGGGCAGUGUCCGGCACGUGAUAAGCCCACGGGUAGAUGUCUUUUGCUGCUUGAAACUUGGCAUUUCUGAAACGCACUCAGUAUGUAAAUAUCUAUCUACUCUAGGAACAUGUACCAAUGUUUGACUGUUUCCUAGAAAUAUGCUCACUACUAAGCAAUCUGUUCAGGCUACUACUCUGCUGUGGAAGAUUCCCCUUCUCUGAAUGAGAGGCAGAAAGGCACCUCCCGUCAUGGAGAAGGUCAUCAGUAUUUGUAUCUAUAGUUCCUGGGAGUUUUGUGGAAUGUCAGUGUAUUAAUCUAUCUGAAGCUAAUUUAAAUAACGUCAUUAUCAUAAUUAAAAGUCAAAACCUUUACGUGAGGUUAAAUCAGAGAGAUCUCUUUCCUGGCUUGGCUGAAAAUACUAAGCCACAAAUGUUUCCUCUACACACCCCAUCUCCUUCUGCCAGUAACUCUUAAUUACUAAUGCACAUUGUUAGCUCCCCUCCACUUCAAAAAAUUUAAGUGCUUCUUGUGUAGGCAAUUUCAAAGAGAUCCAGAAGAAUCUAAUUAUGCUGAAAAUUUAAAUCCACCAUAUUUUCAGUGUCUUCCAAGUAUUUGGCAGAGGGUUAUCUACCAUUGCUGAUAUAAAUCAACUCUAAAAUAUUAUCCUGUUUCGCUUUAUUCUAAGUUUUGUAAUAAAAUGAAAUGCAGGUGUGUCUGGGGAAUUACAAAUGUGACCUUUUAAACAGUACUAUGUUGCACCCAAUUCUACAGUGAUAUUUUGAAAUAUGUGAUUAUCGAUUUGCUACUUUUUAUAUUUCUAAUAACUUUAACAUCUCCUAAAUGCCCUGCACUUACCAAUCAGUAAAGCACUAGCCAAAUGAAUCAGAUAGCAAUAAUUAGCCUAGUGCACACGUUUUCUGAGUAAUAGAAGGGAUUCAGGAUAAAAUAAACCUGUAUAGUAUGUUUUCUAUACUUUGCUAAAUGAUCAGAGAGAUUUCUACCCUAUGUUUGCUAACCUUCUUAUUGUAGGCAGAAUUCUGGUAUUAAAGAGCAGCAUUCUAAAAACUCAAGAUAAUUGGGCACUCUCAAUUCAGAGGUUUUUGCAAAUCCAUGAAUAAUUGCACAUAGUUAUGUGUGUAUAUACCAAAAGUCUUAAGACUCACUUACCUCCUGUGGGUUUAGUACUCGAGAUACAAGAAAUGAAAACGAGGGAAAUGAUUUAUCACUGAGAUUCCCAUAUUUAUGAAAGAUAUGUAUACCAAAUUGAUACUCCAGUAAGUGGCCUAUCUUUAAAAAAUAAAAUUAAAAAUGGAUUAUCCAUUGAUUGUGAUAAUUUCCAAGAAUUUUGUGAAGGAAAGGCUGAUUGACUAUGGGCAGUUAUUAAGUAAAAGAAAAAGAUAUAUUGAUAUUUAUGGUAACUAAUAGUAUCAUUAAAAUUCAAUACGAAAUGGAGACCAGACUUGAGAAUUUUCUGAGCAGACAAAACCGUUUAAGCCACAUAAACAAAACUACAUUUAGCUUAUUUCAUGAACAUAAGCAAAAUUUAACGUAGGUUAUUUCUUGUAAAUGCCUCUUAUAACCAUAAAAGAAACUUAUGUCAUUUUCCUAAAAUGAUACAAGAUAAUCACUUUUAACCAAUACCCUGCAGUCUGGAAACUCCCACUGUAAUAACUCACUAUGGUAAAGGUUAAACAACUUCCUCAUUUUCACUUUAUAAGCCGUUCUGUAACGUCACACCUCUGAACUUCAUAUCAUUUUGGGAUUUGAAAGCUUGCAGUUGGUGAACUGUUCUUAUUUGCACAGUAAACUCUUACUAAAUACUGUUUUACUGGCCUGGUUUUCUUUUUUACUGUUUCUGGAUUUUUGAAAGUCUUACUGGAUCUUUCCAGACUCUUAAAAAAACUCAUUCUCAAUAUAUCUCCUCUAUAUUUUCUGCUUUUAAAUUUUUUUACUAAUGUCUUCUAUUGCUAUGGUACGUUUGUCAUAACUAAGGAGCUAAUAUUGAUAUUAUUAUUAAACUCAAGUCCAUACUUUAUUUGGGUUUCCUUAGUUUUUACCUAACGUCUUCUUUCUGCUCCAGGAUGCCAUCCAGAGACACCGUAGGAGAUUUAGUCACCAUGUCUUUCUUCUUAGUCUCUUCUAGCUCAGUUCUCAGACUUUCCUUGUUUGUUGAUAACCUUGAAAGUUUGAGGAGUACUGGUCAGCUAUUUUGUAGAAUUCCUUUUAAUUUUUUUUUCCCUGAUGCUUUUCUCAUGAUUACACUCAGGUUGUAGUUUUUUGGAACUGCCAUUCCCAUCACUUCAAAUCAAGAGUACACUCUAUUAACAUGUCAUUAAUGGUGUUAAUCUUGGUGACUGGGUUUUCCAGGUUUCUCUACUAUAACUCUUCUCUUUUCCCCCCUUUUCCACACUGUACUCGUUGGAAG